rnacentral:ncRNA from 1 species
GAAAAGUUUUAUUCUAACUUAGAAAUUAGGUUUGGUUUUAUUUUACAUGUAAGUUGAAGCGGGGGUGAUGUUUAGUCUUAAAUAGCCUAAAUUAUAAGAAUUUUAUUCGCAGUGGAGAAAUUUGGUUGAUUAGCGGGAGCUAGAUUCAGGAAUAAUCAGUAAUAUUAACAAAAUUUGUGCCAGCAGUUGCGGUUAUACAGAUAAUAUUAUUUAAUUUUUUCGGAUACAGUUAAUUUGAUUUGUUAACUUUUAAUUAAAGUUUAUUAGGUGGAAUUUCUAAAUUUUAUAAAAGUUUAUGUUUGGUGGUGAGGCUGAGAAAUUUUUUUUUUAAACUAGGAUUAGAUACCCUAUUAUUAUUAAUGUAAAUUUUAUUUCUGGGUUAGUAUUAGUUAUGUUCUUUAAAACUAAAGAUUUUGGCGGUAUUUUAGUCCAUUCAGAGGAACCUGUCCUGUAAUCGAUGGUCCACGAGUUUACUAACUUUUCCUUUUGGUUUAUAUAUCGUCGUAGUUUGAAUAUUUUAUAAGAUGUAUUAAUGUUCAGAAUUCUUUUUUUGAAGGAGAUCAGAUCAAGGUGUAGCUUAUGGGGGAGGAGAGAUGGGUUACAUUAAAUUUAUUUUGGGAUUUAUUAUGGUUAACUGAUAAUGAGUAUGGAUUUGAUAGUAAUUUUAAUUUAACUAUUAAGGUGAUUUAGGCUCUAAGAUAUGUACAUAUCGCCCGUCGCUUUCACUCCAAGGUGAAAUAAGUCGUAACAUAGUAGGCCUACUGGAAGGUGGGCCUGGUGAGGC